AGCAGUCGCCGCGGUAAAACGGAGGAUCCAAGCGUUAUCCGGAAUCAUUGGGUUUAAAGGGUCCGUAGGCGGUCUUGUAAGUCAGUGGUGAAAGCCCAUCGCUCAACGGUGGAACGGCCAUUGAUACUGCAGGACUUGAAUUAUUGGGAAGUAACUAGAAUAUGUAGUGUAGCGGUGAAAUGCUUAGAGAUUACAUGGAAUACCAAUUGCGAAGGCAGGUUACUACCAAUUGAUUGACGCUGAUGGACGAAAGCGUGGGUAGCGAACAGGAUUAGAUACCCGCGUAGUCCCUGUCUCUUAUAA
rnacentral:rRNA from 1 species